rnacentral:rRNA from 1 species
AGUGAACGCUGGCGGUAGGCCUAACACAUGCAAGUCGAACGGCAGCACAGUAAGAGCUUGCUCUUACGGGUGGCGAGUGGCGGACGGGUGAGGAAUACAUCGGAAUCUACUUUUUCGUGGGGGAUAACGUAGGGAAACUUACGCUAAUACCGCAUACGACCUACGGGUGAAAGCAGGGGAUCUUCGGACCUUGCGCGAAUGAAUGAGCCGAUGUCGGAUUAGCUAGUUGGCGGGGUAAAGGCCCACCAAGGCGACGAUCCGUAGCUGGUCUGAGAGGAUGAUCGCCCACACUGGAACUGAGACACGGUCCAGACUCCUACGGGAGGCAGCAGUGGGGAAUAUUGGACAAUGGGCGCAAGCCUGGUCCAGCCAUACCGCGUGGGUGAAGAAGGCCUUCGGGUUGUAAAGCCCUUUUGUUGGGAAAGAAAAGCAGCAGGUUAAUACCCCGCUGUUCUGACGGUACCCAAAGAAUAAGCACCGGCUAACUUCGUG